rnacentral:tRNA from 1 species
GCCUCGAUGGCUCAGCUAGUAGAGCGGCUGCCUCGUAAGCAGCAGGUCACGGGUGCGAAUCCCGUUCGAGGCUCCA